UACGGAGGGGGCUAGCGUUGUUCGGAAUUACUGGGCGUAAAGCGCACGUAGGCGGCUUUGUAAGUUAGAGGUGAAAGCCCAGGGCUUAACCCUGGAAUUGCCUUUAAGACUGCAUCGCUAGAAUCGUGGAGAGGUGAGUGGAAUUUCCGGUGUAGCGGUGAAAUGCGUAGAUAUCGGAAGGAACACCAGUGGCGAAAGCGGCUCCCUGGUCCAGCACCGACGUUCAGGCACGAAAGCGUGGGGAGCAAACAGG
rnacentral:rRNA from 1 species